ensembl:snRNA U6 U6 spliceosomal RNA
GUGCUCGCUUCGGCAGCUCAUGUACCAAAAUUGGAACCAUACAGAGAAGAUCAACAUGGCCCCUGGGCAAGAA